rnacentral:tRNA from 1 species
UGUUCUGUGGCUUGGUUGGUUAAAGCGCCGGUCUAGCGAAUAGGGAGUCGUGGGUCUCCCACCAGAACGC